rnacentral:lncRNA from 1 species
GUUCAGGGCUGUAUUUAAGGUAGUUGAUAAAGUUAGAUCUAAGAUAUGGGCUAUGGUGGCAGUUAAGAUUAGGGCUAGGUUUAGGGUUAGGGUUAGGGCUAGAGUUACAUUUAGGGUAAGGGUUAGAGUUUGAGCUAGGGUUAGGACUAAGGCAAGAGUUAUGGUUAGGAUUUGGUCUAAGGUUUUGGUUAGGUUUACCCGUGUGGCUAGGGUUAGGGCUAGGUUUUGGGUUAGAUUUAUGGCUCUCAUUAGGGCUAUGGGUAAUGAAAGAGCCUGGUUUAUGAUUAUGGCUAAGUUUACGGUUAGGGUUAUGGAUAGGUUUAUAGUCAGGGUUAUGUUUUGGGUUAUAGUAAGGUUUAGAGAUAGGGUUUGUUUUAGGAUAAGCGUCAGUAUUCAGGUUAGCAUUGGGUUUAGGGUUAGGGCCAGAAUUAGAAGCAGGGUUAGGUCUAGGGGUAGGGUUAAUCUUUGUGUUAGGUUAAUAGUUAUUGUUAGGGCUAGGGCUAGGACUUUUUAGGGCUAGGGCUGGAGUUAUGGCUAUAUUUAGGAUUAAGUUUAGUUCUAGUGGUAGAAUUAUGGUUAGGUUAGGUAUAAGUUUACCAGUAAGGCUUGUGUUAUGGUUUGGUUUAGAGUUAGGGUCAGGAUUAGACCUAAAGUUAGUGUUAGGGUCAGAAUCAGGGUCAGGGUUAGGCUUAGGCUUUCGGAUAGGGUUAGAGAUAAAAUGAGGCCUGG